rnacentral:misc_RNA from 1 species
GAUGAAGAACGCAGCGAAAUGCGAUAAGUAAUGUGAAUUGCAGAAUUCAGUGAAUCAUCGAAUCUUUGAACGCACAUUGCGCCCGCUAGUAUUCUGGCGGGCAUGCCUGUCUGAGCGUCAUUUCAACCCUCAUGCCCCUAGGGCGUGGUGUUGGGGAUCGGCCAAAGCCCGCGAGGGACGGCCGGCCCCUAAAUCUAGUGGCGGACCCGUCGUGGCCUCCUCUGCGAAGUAGUGAUAUUCCGCAUCGGAGAGCGACGAGCCCCUGCCGUUAAACCCCCAACUUUCCAAGGUUGACCUCAGAUCAGGUAGGAAUACCCGCUGAACUUAAGCAUAUCAAUAAGCGGAGGA